rnacentral:rRNA from 1 species
GACGAACGCUGGCGGCGUGCUUAACACAUGCAAGUCGAACGGAAAGGCCCUGCUUUUGUGGGGUGCUCGAGUGGCGAACGGGUGAGUAACACGUGAGUAACCUGCCCUUGACUUUGGGGUAACUUCAGGAAACUGGGGCUAAUACCGGAUAGAAGCUCCUGCUGCAUGGUGGGGGUUGGAAAGUUUCGGCGGUUGGGGAUGGACUCGCGGCUUAUCCGCUUGUUGGUGGGGUAGUGGCUUACCAAGGCUUUGACGGGUAGCCGGCCUGAGAGGGUGACCGGCCACAUUGGGACUGAGAUACGGCCCAGACGCCUACGGGAGGCAGCAGUGGGGAAUAUGGCAGAAUGGGCGGAAGCCUGAUGCAGCAACGUCGCGUGCGGGAUGACGGCCUUCGGGUUGUAAACCGCUGUCGCCGGUGACGAAGCGUGAGUGACGGUAAUGGGUAAAGAAGCACCGGCUAACUACGUG